UCUAAUAUGGCAGAUUAGUGCAAUGAAUUUAAGAUUCAUAUAUAAAAUAUAUUUUUUUUAUUAGAA
rnacentral:tRNA from 1 species